rnacentral:rRNA from 1 species
CCUACGGGUGGCAGCAGUGAGGAAUAUUGGGCAAUGGACGAGAGUCUGAACCAGCCAAGUAGCGUGAAGGAUGACUGCCCUAUGGGUUGUAAACUUCGUUUAUAUGGGAAUAAAACGUUUCACGUGUGGGAUUUUGUAUGUACCAUAUGAAUAAGGAUCGGCUAACUCCGUGCCAGCAGCCGCGGUAAUACGGAGGAUCCGAGCGUUAUCCGGAUUUAUUGGGUUUAAAGGGAGCGUAGGUGGAUUGUUAAGUCAGUUGUGAAAGUUUGCGGCUCAACCUUAAAAUUGCAGUUGAAACUGGCAGUCUUGAGUACAGGAGAGGUGGGCGGAAUUCGUGGUGUAGCGGUGAAAUGCUUAGAUAUCACGAAGAACUCCGAUUGCGAAGGCAGUUCACUGGACUGCAACUGACACUGAGGCUCGAAAGUGUGGGUAUCAAACAGGAUUAGAUACCCCAGUAGUC